rnacentral:lncRNA from 1 species
AUCAGGUUUCUAUCCCUGAUAUUGUUCAAGAAGCAACUCUGGAUCAAGACAAUGUCAUACCUCCCUCUUAAGAUCAACAAAUUGUUCCAGAAGAACAAACUCUACACCCUCAAGAACCAAUGCCAUUAAGAAGAUCCACUAGAGAGAGGAGAAGUGUGGUUUCGAAUGAUUACAUCAUAUUUCUUCAAGAACAUGAAGUUGACAUUGGAAUGGUGGAAGAUGAUC